rnacentral:lncRNA from 1 species
UUACAUUUAAAACACAUUUGUUGUACAUAGUAUACAACAUAGAACUAUUACAUGGAAUUCUGGUAAAAAUCUUCCAAAAUCCAUCCAUCAAGAAAAAUCAUUUUCGUGUAAUGUAAUGGCAAAAAUUGAAAUUCACAAAGAAAAUCAGAAAUUUUAAACUCACAACUUCUCCUUCCAUCUAAUACAACUUGAAAUUGAAGGUUUAGAUUCUUGGGAGUGCAAUUGAAAGAAAAGGCAGAGGCUGUGUUUU